UACGGAGGGUGCGAGCGUUGUUCGGAAUCACUGGGCGUAAAGCGCGUGUAGGCGGCUAGGCAAGUCGGUUGUGAAAGCCCGGGGCCCAACCCCGGAACUGCAUCUGAAACUGCCUGGCUAGAGUCCCGGAGAGGAAGGCAGAAUUCCCGGUGUAGGGGUGAAAUCCGUAGAUAUCGGGAGGAAUACCAGCGGCGAAGGCGGCCUUCUGGACGGUGACUGACGCUGAGACGCGAAAGCGUGGGGAGCAAACAGG
rnacentral:rRNA from 1 species